AAUGAACGCUGGCGGCAUGCCUAAUACAUGCAAGUCGAGCGAACAGACGAGGAGCUUGCUCCUCUGACGUUAGCGGCGGACGGGUGAGUCACACGUGGAUGACCUACCUAUAAGACUGGGAUAACUUCGGGAAACCGGAGCUAAUACCGGAUAAUAUAUUGAACCGCAUGGUUCAAUAGUGCAAGACGGUUUUGCUGUCCCUAAUAGAUGGAUCCGCGCCGCAUUAGUAAGUUGGUACGGAAACGGCUUACCAAGGCAAGGAUGCGUAGCCGACCUGAGGGGGUGAUCGCCCACACGGGAACGGGGAAAGGGCCCGACCCCCUACGGGAGGCAGCAGUGGGAAAUUUGCCGCAAGGGGGGAAAGCCUAACGAGGAAACGCCGCGGGAGGGAGGAAGGUCUUCGGAUCGUAAAACCUUUUGGUUAGGGAAGAAAAAAGUUGGAAGAAACUAUGCACGGAUUAACGGAACCUAAGCAGAAGGCCACGGCUAACUACGG
rnacentral:rRNA from 1 species